rnacentral:rRNA from 1 species
UUAUUGGAGAGUUUGAUCCUGGCUCAGGACGAACGCUGGCGGCGUGCCUAAUACAUGCAAGUCGAGCGGACUUGAUGAGGAGCUUGCUCCUCUGAUGGUUAGCGGCGGACGGGUGAGUAACACGUAGGCAACCUGCCUGUAAGACUGGGAUAACUACCGGAAACGGUAGCUAAUACCGGAUAAUUUAUCGGUUCACAUGAAACGAUAAUGAAAGACGGAGCAAUCUGUCACUUACAGAUGGGCCUGCGGCGCAUUAGCUA